rnacentral:rRNA from 1 species
UACGUAGGGGGCAAGCGUUGUCCGGAAUCAUUGGGCGUAAAGAGCGUGUAGGCGGCCAGGUAGGUCUGCUGUGAAAACUCGAGGCUUAACCUCGAGCUGUCGGCGGAAACCAUCUGGCUAGAGUCCGGAAGAGGAGAGUGGAAUUCCUGGUGUAGCGGUGAAAUGCGCAGAUAUCAGGAAGAACACCUAUGGCGAAGGCAGCUCUCUGGGACGGUACUGACGCUGAGACGCGAAAGCGUGGGGAGCGAACAGG